rnacentral:rRNA from 1 species
CGUGUAGGCGGCUUCUUAAGUCUGAUGUGAAAGCCCGGGGCUUACCCCCGGAAGUGCAUUGGAGACUGGGAGGCUCGAGUACCGGAGAGGAGGGUGGAAUUCCUGGUGUAGCGGUGAAAUGCGUAGAUAUCAGGAGGAACACCGGUGGCGAAGGCGGCCCUCUGGACGGAUACUGACGCUGAGACGCGAAAGCGUGGGGAGCAAACAGGAUUAGAUACCCUGGUAGUCCACGCUGUAAACGAUGGGCACUAGGUGUUCGGGGUAUUGACCCCCUGAGUGCCGCAGCUAACGCAUUAAGUGCCCCGCCUGGGGACUACGGCCGCAAGGUUAAA